UGCAAAUACGUAUGAAUUUUAGGUUAUGUGUUAAUCGGGCUAUGUUAAUGAUUUAAUUUAUUUACAAUUGUUUUUUUCUUGUUUUUUCAGAACAAGGACAUAGUGUACAGGUUGAAUUCAUUGUUCUGGUGACAUCAAUAAUCUUGAUCUUAAUCUUAAUCUUGACCAUUUCUGUGAUUGGACGCCUUGUUAUCACAUGUUCUCGAACUCCAGCUGCUGCUGCCGUACAACAACAUAGAGGUGGUUGGAACAGUCAACAGAGAGAAGACGAGAACUGGGUUUAUUCUACUGUCGUCUUCACUGUGGUGAAAACAGACGGUGGUGCCACAACACACCCAAAAGCAACAGGAAGAAAGAGGUUCUUGCUGUGAAGGAUCUUGACUUUUAAUCCAAUCAGUCCAUUUUAUUGUUUUAUAUUGUACCCUUAUGCAGCUGAAAAGCAUCUUUGUUACAGUACUCUGUCAAAUCUCAUUAAUGAAACCUGCUCAAGCUUAUCUGAAGUAUUUACAACUGAACCUGUAUAUUAAUAUUUGAAUUUAUGCAUUUUGUUUCUCUUUAUAGUUAUUGUAUGAACAAUCAAUCAAAGGUUAAUUCAAAUA